rnacentral:tRNA from 1 species
CAAUGGUAGAGUAGGUGGCUGUUAACCACUUGGUUCCAGGUUCGAGUCCUGGCUGGGGAG